UUUUAAUUGGUUAAUACAUACAUAUUUAAUAUUUUAUUUUUAAGGAUUUGCAUAAAAAAUUAAUAUUAUAAAUUUAUUUUAAUAUUACGUUUCCAAAAAUGUUGGAAAACAUUGCAUUAACAAUUUCCAAAUUUUCGAAAAAAGAAUCCCAAUUUUUAAGCGAUUUUCGUUUCCCCCUUUUCCUUCUAUAUUUCAGCUAUUUGAAUAUUUUUUCGCGAUAUACCGCUGCUUGAACGAAACAGAGCAUGAAAUUUGCUCGUUGUGCAUGACAUGAAAAGCAAUCGUUUACAUUAGAGGAAGUGUACGAUUGUUUCGCAACGGAUCGAGCAAGAUUCGAUUACGAGAAAAAAUCGCAGAUGAGGUUAGGUGGCGUGCAAGCAUUGUUACAUAUAUGUGCAUGAUCGUUCUUAGUUUGAAGGUAUAACCUGUGCAAGUGAGGUAACGAGAUUUAUCGUAAAGAUUCGAUUUUGCAUUUAAAUUAUCGUCGAAAAAUAAUAAUAAAUUUAUUGCGCGAGUAAAUAUUAAUUUAUUCAGUUUAUUUAAAUGUUUGGUGUAAUAAAUAUAUGUGAAGCUUUGAAUGGAUUUACGAAAGAGCAAGUGAUAAAAUAAAGUAAAUAGUCUUUAUCUCUUUGAUCAUAAAACUUAAGUGCAACUGAACACAUAAUGGAACAAGGAAAUAUUUGUGCAAUGCGAUAGAUUAUUGGCGAUAACGAACAUCUGCACAUGAAAUAUUUUUAUUAUAUA